rnacentral:misc_RNA from 1 species
AACGCACAUUGCACCUUUUGGUAUUCCGAAAGGUAUGCUUGUUCGAGCGUCGUUUAUACCAUAUCAAUUUAAUUGUUGAAUGUGUUGAAGGUGGUAUAUCCAAUUGUGCUUCUUGCACACCUUCCAAAAUCAUUGAGCGAUCUUGAUUAGACUUGUUUAACGCAUUAAAAUAACUAUCGUUAGAAGAGGAAAUCAUGGAUCUGCCAAUUUAAAUAUUCUUUUGGCUGUAGAAAAAGAAAAAGAGAAUUCGAUUUCUUUUUUCUGCACUCAGAAUACCCCAAUUUUUAAAAUCGACCUCGGAUCAAGUAGGAUUACCCGCUGAACUUAA